rnacentral:misc_RNA from 1 species
UACGUAGGGGGCAAGCGUUGUCCGGAAUCAUUGGGCGUAAAGCGCACGUAGGCGGCCCGAUAAGUCCGCUGUGAAAGUCAACGGCUCAACCGUUGAAUGCCGGUGGAUACUGUCGGGCUAGAGUUCGGAAGAGGCAAGUGGAAUUCCUGGUGUAGCGGUGGAAUGCGCAGAUAUCAGGAGGAACACCAAUAGCGAAGGCAGCUUGCUGGGACGAUACUGACGCUAAGGUGCGAAAGCGUGGGGAGCGAACAGG